AGUGAACGCUGGCGGUAGGCCUAACACAUGCAAGUCGAACGGCAGCACAGUAAGAGCUUGCUCUUACGGGUGGCGAGUGGCGGACGGGUGAGGAAUACAUCGGAAUCUACUUUUUCUUGGGUGAUAACGUAGGGAAACUUACGCUAAUACCGCAUACGACCUACGGGUGAAAGCAGCGGAUCUUCGGACCUUGCGCGAUUGAAUGAGCCGAUGUCGGAUUAGCUAGUUGGCGGGGUAAAGGCCCACCAAGGCGACGAUCCGUAGCUGGUCUGAGAGGAUGAUCAGCCACACUGGAACUGAGACACGGUCCAGACUCCUACGGGAGGCAGCAGUGGGGAAUAUUGGACAAUGGGCGCAAGCCUGAUCCAGCCAUACCGCGUGGGUGAAGAAGGCCUUCGGGUUGUAAAGCCCUUUUGUUGGGAAAGAAAAGCAGCAGGUUAAUACCCCGCUGUUCUGACGGUACCCAAAGAAUAAGCACCGGCUAACUUCGUG
rnacentral:rRNA from 1 species